rnacentral:lncRNA from 1 species
AUGAUUUGGAUAGCUAAGUAUUCCACAUUCUCCAGCUCUGGAAUCAUUUGGAAGAUUUUCUUUGUUUCUCUGCACUAUGGCAAGCUUCCUGUCUUGGGUAAACUAACUAGCACGGAGAAGCGCACAUUGAACAGUGAAGACAGGCUGAGCACUGCUACCAGAAAUUUAGAAGAAAUUACAGUGAAGUACAUGGAAGAAAUGAAAGAAGUAGAAAACUAUGCAAACAAUGUCCAUAACUUAACAGAGGAAAAAGAAGCAUUUUCUCACGGUUGUGAAAAGGAAAACAAACAGCAUAGACAUGUGGUUAAAGAGCUCCAACCCAAACAGGAAGUGCAAAUAAAAGAGAUUGAAGAAAUGUUGUAUCAAGAGGGCUUAUCUGAAAUAGCUCUGAGCAGCCCCAGUGAACAGAUUACAUACUUACUGGUAGAAAGAAGUACACUCUUGAGGAAACUGGAAACUGGAGGCUCCAAGCCAGAAUCACAAAGAUGUAUGACCAGUAAUCUACAGAAAGGACUUGCCCAGGUAUUCUGAAAUUAAGUAGGUAAUUGAAUAAGAGGCAGAUCAGUUUUUUUGUUGUUGUUAUUUCUUUAAUAAUUCAUUCAUUAAAUUAUUAG